rnacentral:rRNA from 1 species
UCCGUAGGUGAACCUGCGGAAGGAUCAUUAACAAAUCUGAGGUCACUAGUGCGGGGUACUUUUAAAGUUCUUGGCAUCUAGUGAUCACAUUGACUCGGGCGCUGCUCUGAUUACACUUUUGUGUGGUUGGUGGGGAUGCCCUGAGACAUACACGCUUGUUUUGUUUGAUAGAGUAACAGUAACACUAUGAAUAAUGACAACUUUUAACAAUGGAUCUCUUGGCUCUUGCAACGAUGAAGAACGCAGUAAAGUGCGAUAUCUAAUGUGAUUUGCAUGAAUCUGUGAGUCAUCUAGUCUUUGAACGCAACUUGCACCUCUCGAGAAAUCGAGCGGUAUGUCUGUUUGAGAACCACAAACCUCCUUGCCACCUUUAUCGUGGCAGAUGUGAGACACUGUGGGUGUCUUGAAAUAAAGCAUGCAGGGCUUGUGAGCGUGUUCCAUGUGCUAGAGAUCGCAAGAUCUUGUCAUGGUGUGCGGGAGCAGCCGAACUCAUAUUUUAUUUAUAAUUGGAGGGGGUCUCCAAAUCAGGGCAAGGAUUACCCGGCUGGAACUUAAGGCAUAUCAAUAAGGCGGGGAGGGGAAGGUCGGAGGGUGGCCAAGGGGGCACACAGGGGAUA